AACGAACGCUGGCGGCAUGCCUAACACAUGCAAGUCGAACGAGACCUUCGGGUCUAGUGGCGCACGGGUGCGUAACGCGUGGGAAUCUGCCCUUAGGUUCGGAAUAACUCAGGGAAACUUGAGCUAAUACCGGAUAAUGACUUCGGUCCAAAGAUUUAUCGCCUAGGGAUGAGCCCGCGUCGGAUUAGCUAGUUGGUGAGGUAAAGGCUCACCAAGGCGACGAUCCGUAGCUGGUCUGAGAGGAUGAUCAGCCACACUGGGACUGAGACACGGCCCAGACUCCUACGGGAGGCAGCAGUGGGGAAUAUUGGACAAUGGGCGAAAGCCUGAUCCAGCAAUGCCGCGUGAGUGAUGAAGGCCCUAGGGUUGUAAAGCUCUUUUACCCGGGAUGAUAAUGACAGUACCGGGAGAAUAAGCCCCGGCUAACUCCGUGCCAGCAGCCGCGGUAAUACGGAGGGGGCUAGCGUUGUUCGGAAUUACUGGGCGUAAAGCGCACGUA
rnacentral:rRNA from 1 species